rnacentral:rRNA from 1 species
UACGGGGGGAGCAAGCGUUGUUCGGAUUUACUGGGCGUAAAGGGCGCGUAGGCGGCGCGGAUAGUCGGCGGUGAAAGCCCGGAGCUCAACUCCGGGUCGGCCGUCGAUACUUCCGGGCUUGAGCACUGUAGAGGCAGAUGGAAUUCCGGGUGUAGCGGUGGAAUGCGUAGAGAUCCGGAAGAACACCGGUGGCGAAGGCGGUCUGCUGGGCAGUUGCUGACGCUGAUGCGCGACAGCGUGGGGAGCAAACAGG